CACGUAGUUGGCCGGUGCUUCUUCUGCAGGUACCGUCACUUUCGCUUCGUCCCUGCUGAAAGAGGUUUACAACCCGAAGGCCGUCAUCCCUCACGCGGCGUCGCUGCGUCAGGCUUCCGCCCAUUGCGCAAUAUUCCCCACUGCUGCCUCCCGUAGGAGUCUGGGCCGUGUCUCAGUCCCAGUGUGGCCGGUCACCCUCUCAGGCCGGCUACCCGUCGUCGCCUUGGUAGGCCAUCACCCCACCAACAAGCUGAUAGGCCGCGGGCCCAUCCCCAGCCGAAAAAACUUUCCACACAACCCCAUGCGAGGCUGAAUGAAUAUCCGGUAUUAGCACCAAUUUCUUGGAGUUAUCCCAGAGCUGAGGGCAGGUUGCCCACGUGUUACUCACCCGUUCGCCACUAAUCCACCAGCAAGCUGGCUUCAUCGUUCGACUUGCAUGUGUUAAGCACGCCGCCAGCGUUCGUCCUGAGCCAGGAUCAAACUCUA
rnacentral:rRNA from 1 species